rnacentral:rRNA from 1 species
AGAGUUUGAUCCUGGCUCAGGAUUAACGCUGGCGGCAUGCCUAAUACAUGCAAGUCGCACGAAAAAUAUAGAAGUGCUUGCACAUUUAUAUUUUUAGUGGCGAACGGGUGAGUAAUAUAUAGAUAACCUGCCUUAAAGUUGGGGAUAACAGAGGGAAACCUCUGCUAAUACCGAAUACGAUAACUAGACGCAUGUUUAGUUAUUAAAAGGGGCUCCAAAGCCCCGCUCUAAGAGGGGUCUAUAUCGCAUUAGCUAGUUGGUAAGAUAACAGCCUACCAAGGCGAUGAUGCGUAGCUGUACUGAGAGGUAGAACAGCCACAUUGGAACUGAGACACGGUCCAGACUCCUACGGGAGGCAGCAGCUAAGAAUCUUCCGCAAUGGGCGAAAGCCUGACGGAGCGACGCCGCGUGAACGAAGAAGGCCGUGAGGUUGUAAAGUUCUUUUCGGGAGGGGGACCGAGGCUGCCAGGCAAUGGGCGGCCGAUGACGUGAAUCCCGGAAUAAGCCCCGGCUAACUACGUGCCAGCAGCCGCGGUAACACGUAGGGGGCGAGCGUUGUUCGGAAUCAUUGGGCGUAAAGGGCGUGCAGGCGGCCGCCAAAGUCCGGCGUGAAAGACCCAGGCUCAACCUGGGGGGUGCGCCGGAUACUGGGCGGCUUGAGUACUGGAGGGGACGGCGGAAUUCCAGGUGUAGGGGUGAAAUCUGUAGAUAUCUGGAGGAACACCGAUGGCGAAGGCAGCCGUCUGGCCAUGUACUGACGCUGAGGCGCGAAGGUGCGGGGAGCAAACAGGUUUAGAUACCCUGGUAGUCCGCACAGUAAACGAUGUGCACCAGGCGGCGGGGGCAACCUCGCUGCCGCAGUCAACGCAUUAAGUGCACCGCCUGGGGAGUAUGCCCGCAAGGGUGAAACUCAAAGGAAUAGACGGGGGCCCGCACAAGCGGUGGAGCAUGUGGUUUAAUUCGAUGAUACGCGAGAAACCUUACCAGGGCUUGACAUGCGCCGGGAGCGCGUCGAAAGGCGCGCGCCCCUCGGGGCCGGCGCACAGGUGCUGCAUGGCUGUCGUCAGCUCGUGCUGUGAAGUGUUGGGUUAAGUCCCGCAACGAGCGCAACCCCUGCCGUCUGUUGCCACCACCCUGGGUGGGCACUCAGGCGGGACCGCCGGUGACAAACCGGAGGAAGGUGGGGAGGACGUCAAGUCAUCAUGGUCCUUAUGUCCUGGGCUACACACGUGCUACAAUGGCCGGUACAGAGCGCAGCGAGGCCGCGAGGCCGAGCGAAUCGCCCAAAGCCGGUCCCAGUACGGAUUGGAGUCUGCAACUCGACUCCAUGAAGUUGGAAUCGCUAGUAAUCACGCAUCAGCAUGGCG